CAAAAACCAGUGGCAAAACUGCUUUCAUCACAGCACCCAUACAGCAGACGAUAGGUAAAUUCAUAUGACAAAACAAAAGGCAUAGGAUAUCGAGACAUGUGCUGUACCACCCAAAAAAGAGAGGCGGACUGGGCCUCCCUAACUUAUUCUUUUAUUACCUAGCGGCACAAAUGACACAAGUUGCGAUGUGGCACUCGCCCCAAGAUAAAAGGAAAUGGGUGGAAAUAGAAUCCC